UCCCUGGUGGCUCAGAAGGUAAAGAAUCUGCCUGCAAAGGAGGAUACCCAGGUUCAAUCCCUGGUUUGGGAA
rnacentral:tRNA from 1 species